AUGGGGAGUUAUCUCUGAUGGAGAGUUGUAUGUGAUAGAGAGUUGUAUCUGAUGGGGAGUUAUCUCUGAUGGAGAGUUGUAUGUGAUAGAGAGUUGUAUCUGAUGGGGAGUUAUCUCUGAUGGAGAGUUGUAUGUGAUAGAGAGUUGUAUCUGAUGGGGAGUUAUCUCUGAUGGAGAGUUGUAUGUGAUAGAGAGUUGUAUCUGAUGGGGAGUUAUCUCUGAUGGAGAGCUAGUUAUUUCAGUGGAGAGUUGUAUGUGAUAGAGAGUUGUAUCUGAUGGGGAGUUAUCUCUGAUGGAGAGUUGUUUGUGAUAGAGAGUUGUAUCUGAUGGGGAGUUAUCUCUGAUGGAGAGUUUUAUGUGAUAGAGAGUUGUAUCUGAUGGGGAGUUAUCUCUGAUGGAGAGUUUUAUGUGAUAGAGAGUUGUAUCUGAAGGGGAGUUAUCUCUGAUGGAGAGUUGUAUGUGAUGGGG
rnacentral:lncRNA from 1 species